rnacentral:rRNA from 1 species
CCUACGGGCGGCAGCAGUGGGGGAUAUUGCACAAUGGGCGAAACCCUGAUGCAGCGACGCCGCGUGUGGGAAGACGGUCCUCUGGAUUGUAAACCACUGUCCCCAGGGACGAAAAUGACGGUACCUGGGGAGGAAGCUCCGGCUAACUACGUGCCAGCAGCAGCGGUAAUACGUAGGGAGCGAGCGUCGUCCGGAAUUACGGGGUGAAAAGGGAGCGUAGGCGGGGAUGCAAGUUGGGUGUAAAAACUACCGGCUCAACUGGUAGUCGCACUCAAAACUGCAGCUCUUGAGUGAAGUAGAGGCAGGUGGAAUUCCUAGUGUAGCGGUGAAAUGCGUAGAUAUUAGGAGGAACACCAGUGGCGAAGGCGGCCUGCUGGGCUUUUACUGACGCUGAGGCUCGAAAGUGUGGGGAGCAAACAGGAUUAGAUACCCCUGUAGUC